rnacentral:tRNA from 1 species
AAGAUAUUAGUAAAAACAUUACAUAACUUUGUCAAAGUUAAUUUAUAGGUUUAAAUCCUUUAUAUCUUU